GCAAGUCGAGGGGCAGCAUUACUUUCGGGUAGAUGGCGACCGGCGCACGGGUGCGUAACGCGUAUGCAACCUACCUUAUACAGGAGGAUAGCCCAUGGAAACGUGGAUUAAUACUUCAUAGUAUCAUUUUUUCGCAUGGAAAAAUGAUUAAAACUUCGGUGGUAUAAGAUGGGCAUGCGUAGGAUUAGGUAGUUGGUGAGGUAACAGCUCACCAAGCCGACGAUCCUUAGGGGUUCUGAGAGGAUUAUC
rnacentral:rRNA from 1 species